rnacentral:pre_miRNA from 1 species
CUCAUACUCCCUCCGGCCGGAAAUACUUGUCAUUAAAAUGAACAAAAGGGGAUGUAUCUAGACAUAUUUUAGUUCAAGAUACAUCCCUUUUUAUUCAUUUUGAUGAUAAGUAUUUUCGGACGGAGGGAGUACUAG